UACGGAGGGUGCAAGCGUUAUCCGGAUUCACUGGGUUUAAAGGGUGCGUAGGCGGGCAGGUAAGUCCGUGGUGAAAUCUCUGAGCUUAACUCAGAAACUGCCAUGGAUACUAUUUGUCUUGAAUAUUGUGGAGGUAAGCGGAAUAUGUCAUGUAGCGGUGAAAUGCUUAGAUAUGACAUAGAACACCAGUUGCGAAGGCAGCUUACUACACAGUUAUUGACGCUGAGGCACGAAAGCGUGGGGAUCAAACAGG
rnacentral:rRNA from 1 species